rnacentral:rRNA from 1 species
UACGUAGGCAGCAAGCGUUGUUCGGAGUUACUGGGCGUAAAGGGUGCGUAGGCGGCUUUUUAAGUUUGGUGUGAAAUCUCCCGGCUCAACUGGGAGGUGCGCCGAAUACUGAGAGGCUAGAGUGUGGGAGAGGAAAGUGGAAUUCCUGGUGUAGCGGUGAAAUGCGUAGAUAUCAGGAGGAACACCAGCGGUGUAGACGGCUUUCUGGACCAUUGCUGACGCUGAGACACGAAAGCGUGGGUAGCAAACAGG